rnacentral:piRNA from 1 species
UUUGACUGUGGAAUUUGUUACAGCAACAGA